rnacentral:rRNA from 1 species
AAUCAACGCUGGCGGCGUGCCUCAGACAUGCAAGUCGAACGCGAAAGUCCCCUUCGGGGGACAAGUAGAGCGGCGCACGGGUGAGUAACACGUAGGUAAUCUACCUUCGGAUGGGGAAUAACAACCGGAAACGGUUGCUAAUACCGCAUAAUGCAGCGGCACCUAAUGGUGACAGUUGUUAAAGCGGGGAUCGAAGACCUCGCGUCUGAAGAGGAGCCUGCGGCGGAUUAGCUAGNGGUAAGGUAAUGGCUUACCAAGGCGACGAUCCGUAGCCGGCCUGAGAGGGCGGUCGGCCACACUGACACUGACAUACGGGUCAGACUCCUACGGGAGGCAGCAGUCGGGAAUUUUGGGCAAUGGGCGAAAGCCUGACCCAGCAACGCCGCGUGAAGGAUGAAAU